CGAGUUGGCAGGGCGGUCGCGGUUGUCGCGAACAGCGAUGAUCGAGGAAAGUCCGGACUCCGCAGGGCAGGGUGGUUGCUAACGGCAACCCGGGGUGACCCGCGGGAAAGUGCCACAGAAAGCAAACCGCCUGGUCACCAGACCAGGUAAGGGUGAAACGGUGGUGUAAGAGACCACCAGCGUCCCGGGUGACCGGGGCGGCUCGGUAAACCCCACCCGGAGCAAGGCCAAGAGGGAGCGAUACCGCUCCUGCGCAGGCGAUUGAGGGCUGCCCGUCCGAGGCCUGCGGGUAGGCCGCUCGAGCCUGCCGGCGACGGCAGGCCCAGAUGGAUGGCCGCCCAACCCGGCCGCCCAAGGGCGGUCGGGGGGACAGAAUCCGGCUUACAUGCCAACUCGUCCA
rfam:Saccharomonospora marina XMT15 chromosome, whole genome shotgun sequence.